UACGUAGGGUGCAAGCGUUGUCCGGAAUUAUUGGGCGUAUAGAGCUCGUAGGCGGUUUGUCGCGUCGAAUGUGAAAACCCGGGGCUCAACCCCGGGCCUGCAUUCGAUACGGGCAGACUAGAGUUCGGUAGGGGAGUCUGGAAUUCCUGGUGUAGCGGUGAAAUGCGCAGAUAUCAGGAGGAACACCGGUGGCGAAGGCGGGACUCUGGGCCGAUACUGACGCUGAGGAGCGAAAGCGUGGGGAGCGAACAGG
rnacentral:rRNA from 1 species